AUCAAAUUAAUCUAACAUACAUAUAAUUUAAUCAUCAAAUCAACCUACUCUAAGAUUUAUGAAAUGUUAUGUUGCAUAUAAAAUCUGAAAUAAUCUAAAGAUAAAAUUAGCAUGCAUACAUAUGAGUAGUAGAUCACAUUUACUUCUAAUCUGAGUUCAGAACUUCAUACCUGAUCACCGAUCGAUGAUCUCCACUACUGAGAGAUAUAGUGGAAAGGAUCUUUACUGGUUACUCACAGUCGCACAUGCAUCCGGCCU
rnacentral:lncRNA from 1 species